GCGCUGCUCGGGAUAACCCGCCCGCCGCCCUGCGCGCGGGGCUGCCUCGCCUCCCGAAACGACAGUGUCCCCCGCGCCCGGAGCUCGCUGCCCGCACGCAGAGCUCAGGCACCACGCAGACCUCCAUCUGCUUAGGAUCAUAAACCCACAAGUCCUUCCUGAAGACAGGGAUCCAAAGAUGUCCUGUCACAGAACUGAGCAGAAUGGCGAUUUGGGUCGAAAACCUCUGCUGGCAGACUCCACCUGCAGAGCUAGUCUGGAGAAAGGCUUUGCCAGCCUGGGCCCUGGAUGCAAAGCCUAACACUGCACACCCGCGUGGAUGGGCGCCAGCAUUCCCUGAAGUUCCAGCUGCUGCUUGAGCCUCCGCGAGCGCCUGGACAUCUCACAUGACAUGCUUGUGCUGCCUUUCUCCUACACACUCGCACUUAUGAAGCUCUACCUACACAGUUUGAUUCACCAGGAUGAGGUGGCCUUAUUUACAUGGUUAAUUCUGACAACCUGAACAGUACAAUAGAAGGCACACUACAGCUUUUACUGCCUCUGCCCCCUGAAGAGAAUUAAGGAGAAAAUGCAGACACAGAGAAAUCUACACAAAAGAAAAGUUAACAUGAAUUACGCAAACAGGAAAAAAAAAAGUAGAUGCUUUCCCCUGGGAAACCUGAACUUAUUAUAUUUGUAUGCAUAUAAUCAAAGUAAGUAUUUUCAAAAGAGAUUACUAAAUCAGCUUGGUAAGGUAUCUAUUUUGUACUAUAAAAAAUUCUGUAACAUUUUGGGGGAAAAGUAUGCUUUUAAUUAUUGCAUAAAUAGAAAGGAAAAAGAACAUUUGUUCUGUUAAUUUCCCUGAAUUCAGCAAAUAUAUGAUCACUUCUGUUUCUUCUAUUUAAAUAGUUUUCUUCUUCAGUCUAGACAGUUAUGGAUUUGUUGUUGAAUUUUUUAAGAGAUGGUUUGCAAGACCUGUUUAUAUGAGUGAAACAACACUGUACUUUAAUUUUUUAUGUAUGUUGAGUCUAAAUAUGUAUUAUAUUUAUCAUUUACAAUAAAUCGAUACUGUGGAGGA